AAGUCGUAACAAGGUUUCCGUAGGUGAACCUGCGGAAGGAUCAUUACAACGUAUCCACGUAUAAACCUUUGUGAACAUGUUUAACCGCAUGGUUGUAGUAUCGCAAAGCUUUCAGCAAUUCGGAAAUAAAGCUGACUGCCCGCUUCUCUCUUGCAGGGAAGGGAUGCUGUGACAAUGUUUUUCCGUUACAUAUUAACCACUGUAACUUUCUAUGUACUUACGAAUCAGAGCGAAAGCUCUCCUUCGAAAUAUAAGAAAUUAUAGCACAACUCUUAGCAACGGAUAUCUAGGCUCUC
rnacentral:misc_RNA from 1 species